GACAGGUUUGUAAGUGCAAACUCGCACAUACGAUUUGUUUCACAUUCGUUCCUCAUAAUAUGUUUAUUAAAUGUGUUUGCGUACAUUUUAGAAUUUGGGACGGAGUAUUGAAGGAGAUCUCAGCUGUUGCCUGACAGUCCGAGCGUCGUGUUUCAGUUCGAAAACAAGGUUGCUACUCGGAUAAAAACAUCGUAACUAUAUAAUUGUAAUUAACUCAAAGGCACAUACUAUUUUACCGAUUUGCGCUUUGUCGUGUGUGUAUCUACGCAGACACAUGUCUGUUUGGCAUUAGAGUAGAGGGCUUGUUUUGUGUAAGAUAUAAAUAUACAACUCGUGGGAGAUAUUUGUGCGACUAUGACCGGGUUAAGUCGGCAAAUAUCAAAAAUAAGUGGCGGCUAGCUUUCAUGCAGUUGCAUCCAUUCAUAUUAACACGUCUCUAGUGACUUUUGUUUAAGUUACGAUAUAAUUGAGCGCAAAAGACAUUAAGGUCUGUCUAAUGAAGAGAUUUAAACAAGAAAUAUUAUAGAAGUCGGUCUUGUAAUUAUUGAAUACGAUUUCUAAGGAAUUCAGAAUUUAUUUUUGAGAAGUUAUUAAUUUAGAAUUACGGCAGUGUUCUUAUAACGAGCUUAAAAAACUUCGAUAACUGAUUAGGAACGAAACCGCAAGUAUUUGUUAUAUUUGUUUGUGGCCUAGCUUCGAAAAAUAAUGUUGUUUUCGGCUGCUGUUUGUGUAAAUUAUCUUGGUAUGUUCACGCCCUGUAACGUCUUUAAGAGUUCCGUUUCACUCACAUCCUAAGAGGGUCCAAUUUAUGAUGUCAUUGGUUAGUGAUAAAGAUAUUCAAACAUAUAUUCCCGAUUUUCGUUUUACUUAAAACAAAAGUGUAUGAAACUUUCUUUCCUUCCUUUAUGACUUUUAUAGCUCACUCGCAGUUGUGAUAUAUAUUCGCGAUUUGUAAAUUUAGUGCUAGCAACGGCCUCUCUUAUAUAGAAAGAUAGGUGUUUUAGUUUUAUUGUCGAAUAAAACAAACCGUGGUGACAAUAUUUUACUAUAAUCUAUGGUAUACUGUCAUGUUGUUAUCCACUAUAAUAUAAAAUUAAUGUAAGUCAGUAUCUGUACAUAAAUUGACAAAAGCAAAACGGUUAUAGUUUCCUUCCCUUUUUAUCAACCGAUUUUUUUUUCGAGAGUGUCAGAGGUUUCUAUUUUUAAAAAGAGUCAAUAUAUUAUAUACUUUUUUUCAAAUUGUUAUUGUCAAAACAAUAGAAUGUAAAUACAUAAAGUGAAUAGAACCGAAUUCGACUUUCGUUCAUUGAUCGAGCACUGUUACUUAUGAUUUCACGAAAAUGGAUUAGUGUUGUGUGACGUCCCUAUACUUAGUUAUUACAUAUAUAAAUAAAUUAUAGCAUUAGUAAGCUCAUCGAAAUUUACAAAAUGUCCGGAAUUUUUACAUCUUAACAUAAGAAAUCAAUUAGUUAAAUGUUGCUGUAAAUUAAUUGCUUCACUUUUAGAAACAAGUUCACACACAAUUUGUGGGCACAUGUUAUACUUUAGUCAUGAAUGGACUCUUACCUCCACGAUUGAGAUAACUGUAGAUUGCAUAACCAUUUUAAUCAUAAGCAAAUACUAGAUACUAGUUACUACACCAUACUUUUGAAUUUGGAUAUUUUGUCACAAAAAUAUACCUAGUUCUAUUUU